GUGCCAGCCGCCGCGGUAAGACGAACCGUGCAAACGUUGUUCGGAAUCACUGGGCUUAAAGGGCGCGUAGGCGGACAUUAAAGUCAGGGGUGAAAUCCCUCAGCUCAACUGGGGAACUGCCUUUGAUACUGAAUGUCUCGAGUAAGGUAGGGGCAUGCGGAACUGAUGGUGGAGCGGUGAAAUGUGUUGAUAUCAUCAGGAACUCCGGUGGCGAAAGCGGCAUGCUGGACCUUCACUGACGCUGAGGCGCGAAAGCUAGGGGAGCGAACGGGAUUAGAAACCCCGGUAGUCC
rnacentral:rRNA from 1 species